rnacentral:rRNA from 1 species
CAGUCGCCGCGGGAACACGAAGGGGGCUAGCGUUGCUCGGAAUUACUGGGCGUAAAGGGAGCGUAGGCGGAUCGUUAAGUUGGGGGUGAAAGCCCGGGGCUCAACCUCGGAACUGCCUUCAAUACCGGCGAUCUUGAGUAUGAGAGAGGUGUGUGGAACUCCGAGUGUAGAGGUGAAAUUCGUAGAUAUUCGGAAGAACACCAGUGGCGAAGGCGACACACUGGCUCAUUACUGACGCUGAGGCUCGAAAGCGUGGGGAACAAACAGGAUUAGAUACCCCCGUAGUCCCUGUCUCUUAUAC